UUACUUACCUGGCAUGGGAGGUAUGAUCACUGAGGUGGUUUUCCCAGGAUAAAGUUCAUUCAUUGCACUCUGGAUGUGCUGACCCCUGUCAUUUCCCCAACUGGGGGAAAUUCGACUGCAUAAUUUGUGAUAGGGGGACUGUGUGCCACUUUUCCCUG
ensembl:snRNA U1 U1 spliceosomal RNA